rnacentral:sRNA from 1 species
AUCCCGCGUUAGGGAUUGCAGCGGCAUCCUUUUUUGGAGGGCCAGGGGCCUUUAAAAAAGAUAUAGCGGAAAGCGCGACCCGUU